rnacentral:rRNA from 1 species
GAUGAACGCUAGCGGCAGGCUUAACACAUGCAAGUCGAACGAAGCACUUAUGACAGAUUCUUCGGAUGAUGGAUUAAAUGACUGAGUGGCGGACGGGUGAGUAACGCGUGGGUAACCUGCCUCAUACAGGGGGGAUAACAGUUAGAAAUGACUGCUAAUACCGCAUAAGCGCACAGUACCGCAUGGUACGGUGUGAAAAACUCCGGUGGUAUGAGAUGGACCCGCGUCUGAUUAGCUAGUUGGUGGGGUAACGGCCGUACCAAGGCGACGAUCAGUAGCCGGCCUGAGAGGGUGACCGGCACAUUGGGACUGAGACACGGCCCAAACUCCUACGGGAGGCAGCAGUGGGGAAUC